rnacentral:rRNA from 1 species
UACGUAGGGGGCAAGCGUUGUCCGGAUUUAUUGGGCGUAAAGCGCGUGUAGGUGGCCAUGUAGGUCCGCUGUGAAAACUUGAGGCUCAACCUCAAGCUGUCGGUGGAAACCACAUGGCUAGAGUCCGGAAGAGGAGAGUGGAAUUCCUGGUGUAGCGGUGAAAUGCGCAGAUAUCAGGAAGAACACCAUGGCGAAGGCGCUCUCUGGGGACGGUACUGACG